rnacentral:rRNA from 1 species
GCCUACGGGAGGCUGCAGUGGGGAAUAUUGCACAAUGGGGGAAACCCUGAUGCAGCGACGCCGCGUGAGCGAAGAAGUAUUUCGGUAUGUAAAGCUCUAUCAGCAGGGAAGAUAAUGACGGUACCUGACUAAGAAGCCCCGGCUAACUACGUGCCAGCAGCCGCGGUAAUACGUAGGGGGCAAGCGUCAUCCGGAUUUACUGGGUGUAAAGGGAGCGUAGACGGCAAGGCAAGUCUGAUGUGAAAACCCAGGGCUUAACCCUGGGACUGCAUUGGAAACUGUCUGGCUCGAGUGCCGGAGAGGUAAGCGGAAUUCCUAGUGUAGCGGUGAAAUGCGUAGAUAUUAGGAAGAACACCAGUGGCGAAGGCGGCUUACUGGACGGUAACUGACGUUGAGGCUCGAAAGCGUGGGGAGCAAACAGGAUUAGAUACCCCGGUAGUCACG